rnacentral:lncRNA from 1 species
UUCUUCACAUUGUUCUUAACUGGAAUCGUUCUUCUAUUUUCUCUCAUAUUUGUUCGAAUCAAAUCACCUCAAAUCUGGCUCGAAAACAUCAGAAUCACAAACUAUAGUGAUGGCAAUAAUAUUAGUUUUUCUGCACAAGUUUUUGUGAGAAAUCCUAAUUAUUGGCGUUACGACUUUGAUAGCAGUUUAGCUACUAUUACUUCAGGGGGUGUGUCUAUUGGCCAAUUUAUUAUUCCUGAAUCAGAGGUACGACGUCAUUCGACGAAAAAAUUAUUUAUUAUUGCAAAUAUUGUCAUAAGAAAAGGAGUCAAUAAUACUAACGGGAUUUUGCCAGUGACUACCCUGGCUAAGAUAAGAGGGGAAUUGAAGAUCUUUAGGGUAUUUAGGAGGAAGAAAUCUGCAGAUUUGAGUUGUACUAUGGAUAUUAAUUUGACUAUAAGUGCCAUUCAAGAUCUUGAUUGCAAGUGAGAGUGAAAAAAGGAUUUUUGUGAAUUAUUACCAAAGUUUCCUUUUAACAUCUAUACUUUCUUUUGUUUCAGUAUAUUAAUAAUAUUUUUUUCUUUGAGGAAUUUGUUAAUAAAGUGCAGCUUAUUCUAAGUUGUAUUAUUGGUCAUCUAAUGAUCACCCCUAUAUAGAUAUAAUCCUUUUUUGAAAUUUAAAGAUUAUAACAUGUGUUUUUACAUGUUCUUAUUCUCUCUUCUUGAUUGAACAAUGAUCAAGUGAAACCACUGAAGAUUGACGAAUCUGCGGCGUGGUAUAUGUUGACUCAAACUGUUACGAACCAGACCCGGCCCAAUAUCAUACAAGCAGUUAUUGAAUGAAAGAAUUGCAUAGGGCGCCCUGUUUGGGCGCCCCUUUUUAACAUUUAGUCACUUUAUUUUUCUAAUUGUAUUCGUACCCAUUUUUUUGUUAAAAGCCAUUUGGAAAGAAUAUUUUGCCCUUCUUUAUUAAAAAACUACUUUCUUUCCAAGUAUACAGUAGUCCUCCACUGUCUCUGUCUCUCUCUCCCGUUAUUUGCGCUUUUUGAUUUGUUCUUCUCUGAAAUCAAACAGUUUUCGUUGUUGUUUCGAAUUUUCAAGUGCUAGUCAUCGUUGUUCCCACAUUACGAUUUAAUCACAGGUACAUUGCAUUAACUUUUCGGGUUCUUCUGGUUUUGGUUUUUAUAGUCAUGUAUUUAUGAUAGGGUUUAGUUUGAUAAGUUCAGUAGUUUUACUUUUACGUUUGUAUUUUUAGGUUUUUUGAACGAGUGUUUAUGUUAUUGAUGAAAAUUAUAUAAAUUCUUAUGUGUUAAGACGUUCAAAUUUUUAAAAAAUUUCAGAGUUAAACACAUGAUAAUGAUACCUUAGAUAGGAGUAGAAGUUUUUUUUUUUCUUCAUGUUUUCCAUUAUUUUUGGAUUUGAAUUUGUCUUUUUUUUGCUGAAUGUUUUGUGCUUGUAUGGAGAACCAUAAUUAAGUUUAUGUGUUUGUAACUCGUGAAUUCCAUCUUUAGGAACUGAAGUUUUUGUGUUUGUAACUGGUGAAGUCCAACUUUAGGAGAUAAAGUUUUUGUAUUUGUUACUGUUGAACUUCAGCUCUAGAGAUGAAGUUUUUAUUUUAUACCUGUCGAACUACAGUUAAAGAGUUGAAGUUUUUAUUUUGUAACUGUCAAACUUCAGCUCUAGAGCUGAAGUUUUUGUUUUAUACCUGUCGAACUUCAGCUCUAGACCUGAAGUUUUUGUUUUAUAUUUAUCGAACUUAAGCCUUCUUAGGUAUUGAAGUUUUAACUAAUAUUUUUGAUAAUGUCCUGAUGUUAUUAUUUGUAUCUUUUACCUUUUUUGGACAGAUGGCUCCUUAAGUACCUACAGAUCCUAAAGUAGCUAAAGAAGGUAAAGCACCUAUAAAACCUAGACUGCCUGUAGUAGCCCCAGGUCCGUACGUCCCUGAGCUUCUACCUACAAGACCAGGACAAAAUUAUUUUGAGUUUGAAGAUUGGUUUAACUCUAAGGGUUACUGGAAAGGGAACCAUGAAUUGAAGGGUUUUAUUGCAACUUUCUUGACUCCUGCACAAUAGGAUAAGCAUAAUAAUGGUACAUUUAAGCACAUUAUUGCUACGGAGAAUUUCAAAUGCAGCAUGAAGUUAGUUCAUUAUUUGUGUCUUUCUCGAAUAUUCACGAAUGAUCGAGACUCCAUUAGUUUCAAGAUUUUUGACUAUGAUGUUUCCUUCACCCUUGAAGACUUUCACAUUAUGUGUGAUUUACGAAUCACAUCACAUAAUGUUGAAAAACUAUUUUAUCGAGAGAGCAAUAUUCUGAAGCGCUAUUUUGGUAAGUCCAAGGGUGUGACUUUGAAGGAGGUUCGAAGUUUUAUGACUCGCAAUAAAAUUCCAAAGAAUAUUGUGAAUCAUGUACACGUAUGCGAGAGUGAUGAUGAUGCAAUUAAGCUUAUGGAAAUUCUUGUUGUAGAGACUAUUCUACAACAAUAACAACUACCCAGUGUAGUUCCACAGGGUGAUGUCUGGGGAGGGUAAUAUGUACGCAGGCCAUAGCCCCACCCAAAAGGGCAGAGAUGAUAUUUCCAAUAGACCCUCGGCUUAGGGAAAGGAAAGAAAAAAUAAAAACAAAAGAAAAUUAGUAACUCCAAUAGGAAUGAAUACACAAUUAUGUAAAUAUAGACCAU